rnacentral:lncRNA from 1 species
UCAGUCUACUCCAGAGGAUCCCUCAACUAAGGGGGAGAAGGAUAAGGAUGACAAAGAUAAGGAUGACAGCAAUGCUGAUGCUGCUGACAGCAAUGCUGAUGCUGCUGAUAGGGGUGAUAAGGGUGGUGAUACUGAUAGGAGUGAUAAGGGUGGAGAAGGAGCAAGUAAAAAGGAUUCUUCUGCAGCUAGCAAAUCUAAAGGCAAAAUGCCUGAAACUGAGAACAUCUUCACUAAUCAGGAUUAUGACAAUAUUCCUGAAGAUGUUGAUGAUGAU